CGCUCCAUUCUCCCACUUCACUUCCUUUCCUUUCGUCAUACAACAGAAACGAGAGCGAUCUCGUCGGGCAAGUUAGGUCGAUGAAAAUGGCGAGCUCGCGGGAGAAUCCCGGCAUGGGCAGCGAGAAUGCGGGAUCCGAGAGCGACGAGACUCCCGCGCCAAAUGGGUUGGUCGGCGGAGACGUAUCAAGGCGAAUUCGAAUGCCGAAUCAUUCACGGGCAGGUGAUCUUCAUGCUUGGUUCUUCAGUUUUCCGCAUUGUUCGGUUACUGUCGUAGGUGAAUUCCGAGGAUGCAAUGGGUCGCGGUGCCUUAUGCUGGUGACAGCAGGCAUUGUGUGAGCUUGACUGGGUGGAUAAUGCUGGAUGUUGGGAUCGAACCCUUUAUAUCGAACCGUCUGAUGCGUGCUUCGUGUGCCGGAUAGGCCCUUACCUUGUCAUUGAUCGGUCAUUUGUUCUGAAAUGAUGGAGCGACGGAAACUGCAGUUGGGAAAUGCCAGGGGGAUGAAUUAGACUUUGUUGCAGUUGGGGAAGAUUCCACUUCACAUGGACAAAGGGGCUGCCUAUGAGCUGAGCUUGCUGUAGUCAUGCCCGUCGACACAUGGAUAGUGCGUGUAUAGAGAUCAAAGUCAGUCGUCCCUUUGUAGGCAAGGAGACAGUUGCCUGAUAUAAAGUCAACAUUGUCUUCUCACUGGUUUUUUCUCUGAAGUCUAAUGAUGUUGAGUCAUGGAGGAUAUACAAUUUGACUAGAGAUGAUAUUAGCAGGUCAAUAAGUGGGAGAUUAGAUGAGUUGAGCCUCUCAUUGUCUUUCCUUUUAUUGUAGUAGUGACAAAAUUUUCUUCACAGCUUACUCAUGAAACUGCUGUGAUGGUCUAUCAGUUAUCAUUCAAGAUGUAAGAGCUCAGGUUCCUGCAUCUUUCCAUUAGCGACAAGGUAGUGUUUCUUUUGAAGCGGCAGUAUAGGGGCAGUGGAGUCUGAGUACCGAUUCUAGAAAGUGUUAAAAAUUAUAUCAAUACAGAAAGUCAUCUCUACCAACUCCAAAUAUCUGCCACUGUUUGCCAGUAUGCCAAUACUUGCUAUCUUUGGUAUUGGAGGUUGGGCAUAACUUUAUCAAGGAUAGCCUUUCAGGAAGAUAGAAUGUGGAAAACUGGAAAUGAUGUUCAAGCAAAAGCUGUGGAUAGCUGUCUGACUAUUUGAACUCGGCUAUUCAACAGUGACAUUUCGACUGGUUUCAGAUGCAAAGGAUAUGUGUAUUUGCUGCUUGAAAAACGAAUAGCCAGAAGGGAUCUUAUAUAUUGAUUUACAGUGAACAAGUAGAGGAGAACGUGUUUACUUGCAUUUGCCUGAUCGGGCUGCUUGAGCUGCAUGGAGGUUAUCAAUUCUUUGUCCUACCGAGAGUACAAGAAAAGUUGUUCUUAAGGGGGUCGUCAUUUUUAAAAGGAUGAUUAUAGUCGUGGACGUUUAUCAGAAAUCUGAUGAAUAUUGAUAUAGGAUGGAACUAUCUCUUUGGGGUACUCGAGUGUAGUUGACUGUAGCAGGAUAUUAAGUGCACAACAAUGAGCUUGCUAAUGAUGAAAGUAUUGGUUACAAGUGUUUCUGAUAAGGCCAUUAGGUGAUGUCUGUUGAAGUUGCUCCUUCAAAGUGUUGAGGCGUAAGAUGGUUCCUUUAGAAAUCUUACUUCUGUUUCUAUAAUGUUUUUGCCAGAUCAGACUUAUACUUGGCCAUAAUGUACAUGCUGUGAACCAGGCAAUAUGUGAGAAGACUUAAAGAGAGAGACGACUACAUCCACAAAGGAGAAGUUUGUGACUUGGUCCUUAACAUCCAACUCUCCACUCUACACUCCCAGUAUGUUGUGCUGUUCUUUUUGCAUGAUCAAGAGUACAAACAUUACAUCCGCAGAUAAUCUUUUUACAUCGGAGUAUCUGUAGCCAAAAUUUUGGGCUUACACCUAGAUAUCAUUUGGAUUUUUUCUUGUGAACUUGUGGCAAGUCUGUAUUUUUAUUGUCCAGCUGUUCAUAUCAAACUAACUGUUGAUAUUUAUCUCUUAGUUGUUCCGUUGACUCUGUAAUAUUUCUCUUGAAGCUUAAUGAGAACUGCCUCAUAUGUUAUUCAAUCAUUUAGUACGACAGGACUCUUCUUUUUCUGUUUUCAUCCAGCCACUUCAUCUCUUAUGUAACAGCAAGAAGACGGUCAAAUAUUUGGAACGAUCUUACUUUUCAUAAUAUGAUUCCUUAUAACUUGUCCAUCUGUCUUGCCUCGUUCCUUAUUUUAGAUCCUGUUUAAGGAUGUAUGAUUCACUUUUACUUGAUUGGGCUAUGGAGCUUCACAUAUGACGUUCUCCAUGAGACAAGAUUCAAUUCUUUCUUGAAGAUCACUUCGUAUAUGUCCAAAUUAUUUUGGACGUACUUGAGUUCUUGUUUGUUUCUUAUUUGCUCUUUUGCCUUUGUUCCUUUGCUCUUCUACUGGAUGCUGGCUUUGUUGUUUUCUAUUCUUUUUUCUUCUGUUUUUUUCCUGGAGAACGAAAGGAAUGGAUAAGGUGCUAGCCCCAGAAGCAGUGAUAUAUUAUCUUCUUUGGGUUACUCUUCUGCUGAAAACUGUUGGUAUAUCAGCUUUGAAGUCAUUCAAAUACUCUCUUAACAUGUGUGCUAUGUUAGUAUUUCCAUUCCUUCAGCAGCACUAUUUGCUUUCAUUGGUCAGAUAUCACUGACGAAUAUUGGUAGAUAUGUCAUUUGAGAAGUGUUGAUUCUCUGGAUAAUUUCCUCCCUGGAAGAUUUUGCUGGUGCUUUUUCAGCUGCUAUCAGUGAACUUGUUCAGAAAUGGGAGGCCAUGAACAGGGAUUUUGCAGCAGAAGCUUAAAGGAGGGGGGAGCGCCGGGGGGGAAGAGCAGAAGCAAAGGAAGGAAAGAAGGUUUGGCAAUGAUGAGGAUUGGAAGAAAGAAAAAGGUGCAAAAGGAAGGUUUAUUGAGAGGAGAUGAGAUGAGAUUCCCUGAUGGAAGCUGACACAACUGCUUGUCCGUGAGAAAGGUUUUACGCUGCCAACAAAAAUCUGUCAAACGUUUUAUGGGGAGAUGCACGGAAAUUGAUAAAGUUUGAAGAGGAAAAAAAGAGGACUGGAGAGGAAUGUGGGUAAUACUUCAGAACUUUUAUACUUCUAUUGAAGCAUCUUUUUCGGAUAGCCGUUGACAUUUCUCUCUUGUGUGCUUCGUUUCUUUUAUCUUUUUUUUUCCUCCUCAUCCCUUCUUCUCUCUUUUUCUCUUCUUUUCUUUGCCUCUCUCUUUCUUUUGGUUUUAGUAGUACCACUUUCUUGUCCCGGACCACCACCAUCACCAGCACCACUGGGCACAAAUUCACAUACACCAUCAACUUAGUUGCCUUUUUUAACUCACGCUCGCAUUACAGCAUUUUUUUUUAGCAGCCUCUCUUUACCUCCUCUUUAGAAAAGGUCACAUGUCCUUAGAUUUUCUUCUUCCGUUAUCCCUCUGGCGCUAUUUUCAAAAAUUCUCGAAAAGAAAGUGGGUGAUGAGGAAAAGAAUUUCUUGGAAUUGGUAAAUUCCUAGCAUUCAACAAAAAAAAAAGGGCUUGGAGAUAUAAAAGUGAGAUGCUUGGGAUAUCCAAAGCAGCCAUUUUUUUCCCCUUUUGGAACAAAAGGAGGUUAAUUUUUCCUUUUUUCUUGCAUUAUUGCUUCCACUGUGCUGGAUUGGGGUCGCGAGAGUGGACAUU